rnacentral:rRNA from 1 species
AGAGUUUGAUCCUGGCUCAGAUUGAACGCUGGCGGCAGGCCUAACACAUGCAAGUCGAACGGUAACAGGAAGAAGCUUGCUUCUUUGCUGACGAGUGGCGGACGGGUGAGUAAUGUUUGGGAAACUGCCUGAUGGAGGGGGAUAACUACUGGAAACGGUAGCUAAUACCGCAUAACGUCGCAAGACCAAAGAGGGGGACCUUCGGGCCUCUUGCCAUCGGAUGUGCCCAGAUGGGAUUAGCUUGUUGGUGGGGUAACGGCUCACCAAGGCGACGAUCCCUAGCUGGUCUGAGAGGAUGACCAGCCACACUGGAACUGAGACACGGUCCAGACUCCUACGGGAGGCAGCAGUGGGGAAUAUUGCACAAUGGGCGCAAGCCUGAUGCAGCCAUGCCGCGUGUAUGAAGAAGGCCUUCGGGUUGUAAAGUACUUUCAGCGGGGAGGAAGGGAGUAAAGUUAAUACCUUUGCUCAUUGACGUUACCCGCAGAAGAAGCACCGGCUAACUCCGUGCCAGCAGCCGCGGUAAUACGGAGGGUGCAAGCGUUAAUCGGAAUUACUGGGCGUAAAGCGCACGCAGGCGGUUUGUUAAGUCAGAUGUGAAAUCCCCGGGCUCAACCUGGGAACUGCAUCUGAUACUGGCAAGCUUGAGUCUCGUAGAGGGGGGUAGAAUUCCAGGUGUAGCGGUGAAAUGCGUAGAGAUCUGGAGGAAUACCGGUGGCGAAGGCGGCCCCCUGGACGAAGACUGACGCUCAGGUGCGAAAGCGUGGGAGCAAACAGGAUUAGAUACCCUGGUAGUCCACGCCGU